rnacentral:lncRNA from 1 species
UUUAUGUAGGGUGACCAGAACCGGCUGAAACUGGUUUGAGGCAGAUCAGCUCCUGAACACAAUGCAGUCACUGAGCUACUACAGUAGGAUAGCAGCUUCCUCCCUUCAUGGCAGCCAAAAGCAGAGGAGCUUGCAGGAAGGUACCAUCCCUACACAGUAUGUGAAUGCACACUUAGACACCACACAGCACUGGCCUGUUGACUGGGGCUGCUUUUAACCCUUUCCUAUUUGCUGAGAAUGCAGCCGUGUGACAGUAACUGAACAUUGGUCUAAAGUCUUUCCAAAAGGUCAAGGUUCACAAG